AUUAAAAUAUUUUUAAAUUAAAAAGAAUAAAAAAUUACGUUUUAACAAAAGAUCAAAAUGAUAUUUUUGUCAAAAAUAUUUCAGAAAAAAUAACAGUCACACCCAGCAAUUAGAACCAGACAGCAUGGUAGGACUUUUUUUUUUAAAUGAAGAAAAAAGCUCGGGUGCAGCCACUAUUUGGCUACAUCCAUUGCACGCAUGACGUAUCCAGUUCACUAAAUGCCUGAACCGGUUUAGCUCAUUCUGCCAUUUCCAGUUUGCUCGAUCAAGAUCUUCCCCCGUUCAACGAGCCCUCAUAGCCAGCUCAAUCAAGGAAACCCCCAAGCCCUCAAACACACCGACGGUUCUCCUCCCCACAGUGAUAUCCAUCCCUACCCACCACGACGGAGCCUCGUAUUCUCUGCAUCGCAUUUCAAUCUCGAAAGCCAUCCCUAUUCUCUCCCUCCUGAAGCCCAUCCCUCUACAACUUCUCUCUCCCCGACAAUAUACACGCUCCCCGACCCGAGGCCUCUCCUCGCUAUCUGGAAAUUUUGGGAGAAGUGAGGCAAUGUGACUUCUUCGUUUGGGAGGAUAUACUUCACUUAUUUUUUUUUUUUUUUUUUAUUUUUUAUUUUUAUUAUUAUUUUUUUUUUAUAACCUUGGGUGUCCGGGUCAGCUUAUGCGCACCUCGACUAAUCCCAAGGGGCCCUGAAGUUAACGACCAGGUAAAUCCUCCAGUGGCCCUGAGGGGACUCGAACUAGUGACCAUUGGGGAGCAAACCCAAGGCCUGACCAAUUGAGCUACCCCUCGGGGUUAUAUACUUCACUUAUUAGAAGAGAACAUUCGUACAAGAGAGGGUAAAGUUUGGAAGAUGUGGGAUGAUGUAUUGGUACUCGAGAAUGAAAUUCGUAAAAUGUAAGAAGUUGUUCGUAAAAUGCAAGAUGAUCUUCAUAAAUAGGAAGAUAAAGUGCAAAAGCGAGAGACAACUCUUUGUAAGGAAAAACAUAAAUUAUUGUGUAUGUAUUGGGCUGUCAUUUUUAUAAUUAUUUUUGCUUGGUUUAGAUAAAUUGUAAGUAAAUAGCAAACUGACAUUUUGCUAUUAAUGGCCAAAGCAAGAAGAUGGAUGUAGGGAUUAUUUUGCUUUUUAUGAUGCAUAAACUUUUGGGCCUUACUCGUGUACUGUAAAAUACAUUGUAUAUAUUUAUCUUCUAUUCGGGUUUAAA